rnacentral:lncRNA from 1 species
AACAUAAUUUCUGUUGAUCUUCUUUGAAAGGAAAUAAAAUAGUCAUUAACUUUUAAUCCGUAUAUUCCCGAUUAGCAAAUCCAUCUAUACCGAGCAAAGCACCAAAAACAAUUACUGAAGCAAUUCCUCUGGAUCCUCCUCCCGAUCCACAUGGAUCAUCAGAAGAAGCCUUUUCAUUCAGGUCGGCUUUCUUCCUCCUCUUGAUUCUCAUCUCCGGUAUGUAUGCAUCUGUUAAUUAUAACUACGUUUUUCCUUCCAUCUCAAUCAUCGUCGAUCGAAUUCAUACUGAUUCCUGCAAUGUUUCAGGUGGGAAGAACGCAAUAAUGGAGGGAGUGGAAGGAAGAAACGUAGGCAUCCCAUGCGAUACGGUGAUGGAUUGCACUCCACAGGGGAAUUGCGAAUGUAGAAUGGGACUUUGCUUUUGCCAUGCUGAGCCUGAACAGCUCUUCCCUAACACGAUGGAGAGUAGGAAGAAAUUCCAAGGCAUUAAAAUUACGGCAAUUUGAUCUGUUAUUAUGUUUUGAUAACGAAGCACUUCUUCGACGAGUAUCAUAUUUAAUGCUGUAGCAAGUUAGACAAAUUCUAAGGCACAAUGAUUCGUUCUAGGCAAAGUCCCAUACAUGAUCGAGUCCUACCGACGCUGCAAGCCGAGAAUUCCCGAUAAAUCGGAAAAUCCAUUUACACCGCUAGGCGGAACAUUGGUAAUUCAGCAACUUACGCAUCUCUUCCAAACUAUGUAAGGAUUUCAUUUCAUAGUCCAAUAAUCAUCACUGAUCGUCGACAUAGAUACAUGGAGGUGCUUAAAUCAUCCAAUUUCGGGUAACCCAAAAUGCAAAAUUAAAAGGACCCUAUUACCUUCGUUUUCUUCGUCGAUCCAAUGCUUCAGUUUUUGGUGAAUUUAUGAAGUGCGCACUGAAAAGAAGAAAUAUAAGUGGGAAUAUAUAUACACUGGGGAACCUUACUAAUCAUCUGUAUAGAACUGGCCAGAGAGACUGUCCAUGAGUCCGAACUGCAUGUUCUCCGAUGGCUUCCAAUGCCGCUUCCGUUGGUUUAUGAACCAGUUGUUUAUCUGCUUCUGAUCCAGCCCCGUCGAUUCCGCCAACGCCAUCUUAUCAGC